UAAACACACUUAAUUUGGGGGAAAUUCAGUAACUCUUCUCUGCAACAUGUUGAAGCUAUUUUCAUGGCGUCGAGCAAUCCAUCCAUCUCCUUCCUCAUCCACUCACCUCCCCGCCAUAUACCGAUUCCUCAGCCACUCUCCGCCAUCGGCAGCGGCAGCGGCAGCAUUAGAAGAAAUUCACGACCCUCCAUUUUCCCCCAAACGCGCAGAAACACUCCAAAACAGAACUAAAAUCAAGCCCGCAAAGAAGAAAGACAAGCUACCAAAAGUUAAUGAUAAUAAUAGCAACACCGUUGAGAAACCGCCUGAGCUGCCCUUCGAUUUCAUGUACUCUUACUCGGAGAUCAGCCCCGGCGUUAAGCCAAUUGGCUUCCGCGAACCCCCCAAAUUCUCCCCUUUCGGACCGGGCCGCCUCGACCGGAAUUGGACCGGCACCACCGCCCCGGCUAGGGUGAAGCCGGAUUUGGAGAAGCUGGCGGAGGAGCGCCAGAAGGUUCUAGGAGAUCCGAUUCCCGAUGAGGAGGUUGCUGAGCUCGUUGAGAAGUAUCGCCACAGCAAUUGCUCCCGCCAAAUCAAUUUGGGGAGAGGAGGUGUUACACAUAACACACUGGAAGAUAUACACAGCCACUGGAAAAGGGCUGAGGCUGUGAGAAUAAAGUGCUUGGGGGUGCCGACUCUCGACAUGGACAACAUCUGUUUCCAUCUCGAGGACAAGACCGGGGGGAAGAUUAUAUACCGUCACUUGAAUAUCCUCCUCCUGUAUCGUGGGCGUAACUAUGACCUCAGAAAACGGCCUCAGAUUCCACUUAUGUUAUGGAAGCCUCUCGCGCCAAUAUAUCCCAAGCUAGUGAAGAAUGUAGCUGAUGGCCUGACGUUUGAAGAAACUAAGGAGAAGCGAAACAGGGGGCUUAAUUCUCCUCCAAUAAUGAAACUUACUAGGAAUGGUGUGUAUGUGAACGUCGUGGAGAAAGUGAGGACAGCAUUUGAGACCAAUGAUGUUGUGAGAUUAGACUGCACUCAUGUUGGCUCAAGUGAUUGCAAGAAAAUUGGUGUCAAACUAAGAGAUCUGGUUCCGUGUGUCCCUAUCUUGUUCAAAGACGAACAGAUUAUACUCUGGAAGGGCAAAAAAGAAGGCGAGUGAGAUCUUUGCAGCUUUUUCAUCAAAGAGGGCUCAAUGGAACACUUGGAUGAAGGCACAUUAACGGUUACAACUAGGGAGAAUGAGCCAGGCACCCUGAACUCGAUAGUGAAUUUAUCCAGACUUUGUCUGCCGCCACAGGUUGAUCGUCGUCGUUCCUGUGCCAGCCCCAAAGCGCGUGAGUUGUAUUCACGACGUUGAAAACACCAUGGCCGAAACUUGCUUCGCGAAAGGCAGACCACUCAGGCUGCUCCUUGUACUUGCUCGCUAAUCCUUCUCGGUUUCCACCAUCGCCAAUUGUAAUGUGUACAAAUCCACAAGGAUCGGAUUUGCCAUUAUAGACACGUUUCUGUUUUUGCAGUAAAA